UACGUAGGUGGCAAGCGUUGUCCGGAUUUACUGGGCGUAAAGAGCGCGCAGGCGGUCGUCCAAGUCGCGUGUGAAAGCCCCCGGCUCAACUGGGGAGGGUCACGCGAUACUGGUCGACUCGAAGGCAGGAGAGGGUAGUGGAAUUCCCGGUGUAGUGGUGAAAUGCGUAGAUAUCGGGAGGAACACCAGUGGCGAAGGCGGCGUUCUGGACUGUUACUGACACUGAGGAACGAAAGCCAGGGGAGCAAACGGG
rnacentral:rRNA from 1 species